rnacentral:rRNA from 1 species
UCGAACGCGGUUAGUAGCAAUACUAACUGAGUGGCGAACGGGUGAGUAACGCGUGGGUGACCUACCUUCGAGUGGGGGAUAACGUCCCGAAAGGGACGCUAAUACCGCAUAACAUCCUCUUUUUGAACAGAGGGAGAUCAAAGCCGGGGAUCGCAAGACCUGGCGCUUGAUGAGGGGCCCGCGUCUGAUUAGCUAGUUGGUGGGGUAAUGGCUCACCAAGGCAACGAUCAGUAUCCGGCCUGAGAGGGCGGACGGACACACUGGGACUGAGACACGGCCCAGACUCCUACGGGAGGCAGCAGUGGGGAAUUGUUCGCAAUGGGCGCAAGCCUGACGACGCAACGCCGCGUGGAGGAUGAAGGUCUUCGGAUUGUAAACUCCUGUUGCCCGUGACGAAAAGCUCCGACCUAACGCGUCGGAGUCUGACGGUACCGGGUGAGGAAGCCCCGGCUAACUCUGUGCCAGCAGCCGCGGUAAUACAGAGGGGGCAAGCGUUGUUCGGAAUUACUGGGCGUAAAGGGCGCGUAGGCGGCCUGCUAAGUCGAACGUGAAAUCCCCGGGCUCAACCCGGGAACUGCGUCCGAUACUGGUUGGCUUGAAUUCGGGAGAGGGAUGCGAAAUUCCAGGUGUAGCGGUGAAAUGCGUAGAUAUCUGGAGGAACACCGGUGGCGAAGGCGGCAUCCUGGACCGAGAUUGACGC